rnacentral:rRNA from 1 species
GACGAACGCUGGCGGCGUGCUUAACACAUGCAAGUCGAACGGAAAGGCCCUGCUUUUGUGGGGUGCUCGAGUGGCGAACGGGUGAGUAACACGUGAGUAACCUGCCCUUGACUUUGGGAUAACUUCAGGAAACUGGGGCUAAUACCGGAUAGGAGCUCCUGCUGCAUGGUGGGGGUUGGAAAGUUUCGGCGGUUGGGGAUGGACUCGCGGCUUAUCCGCUUGUUGGUGGGGUAGUGGCUUACCAAGGCUUUGACGGGUAGCCGGCCUGAGAGGGUGACCGGCAACAUUGGGACUGAGAUACGGCCCAGACUCCUACGGGAGGCAGCAGUGGGGAAUAUUGCACAAUGGGCGGAAGCCUGAUGCAGCAACGCCGCGUGCGGGAUGACGGCCUUCGGGUUGUAAACCGCUUUCGCCUGUGACGAAGCGUGAGUGACGGUAAUGGGUAAAGAAGCACCGGCUAACUACGUG